CCAGACGGCCGGAUGGUCGCCUUCGUACCGGCUUGAGCUUCGGUUCGGGCGGGGCGGGGAGGAAAGUCCGGGCUCCACGGAAACACGGUGCCGGGUAACGCCCGGCGGGGUGACCCCAGGGAAAGUGCCACAGAAAGCAAACCGCCGGCCGGGGCUGGGUCCGGGACAGAGUCCGCGGGACCGGCCUGCCGGUAAGGGCGAAAGGGUGCGGCAAGAGCGCACCGCGUCUCCGGUAACGGGGACGGCACGGUAAACCCCACCGGGAGCAAGACCAAAUAGGGACGGCAGGCUGGUGCACCACCUUGGGGUGGUUCGCCGGCGUGCGGGUUUCCGCGCCGCCGUCCGGGUCGGUCGCGCGAGGCGUCCGGUAACGGACGUCCCAGAUGAAUGACCAUCGCUCGUCCCACUGGGAUGGGUACAGAACCCGGCUUAUAGGCCGUCUGGCUCC
rnacentral:RNase_P_RNA from 1 species